rnacentral:lncRNA from 1 species
GGCUGCUUCAACCUGUUACAAUCUUAACAGUAUUUUCAUGUUUUCUUAGAAACUAGGUCUGCCUUGUCUUCAAGCAACAGGUUCAGCAAGUAGGUCCUUCGGAGGUCUAGUAAGCACUGAGGAUCUGAAGUGUAACUUCCAGAAGGCAUUGCUGUUGGUACUGAGCAGAUCUCAGCAUCUCUUCCUGACUGGUCUGUGCAAACAUUCCUUUUAAAUACCUUGGGUCAUCAUUACUGGAUCUAUUUCAUGCUUCUUGAAUCUACAGCAUGUCAGGCCCUUUCCAGUUUUUAAACCACUCAGAUCCAGGAAGGCUUGCUACUGGGCAAACCAAUGGACUCCAUGAGGCUAAGCUGUCAGAAGCCAGGCAUCUAUCAGCUCACACAUCUCAGAUAAAUAGCCAAGUGCUCAGCAACUUUCAAGAAACUAUUAUGAAGAUGUUGAGAUCUGACAUGAAAACAGCAGACAAGGAAAUCAUCAAUUGGCUAAAGCUUAUUAUACAACUUCAUGAAAUAUCUAACAAAUCAAAAAUUGCUUCUGAUUGUGAGACUGGAAAGGUUAAUUAAUAAAGCCAUUCUGCCUCUUCAUUGCUGCCAAGAACUCAGCAGAUAUGGAUAUCCUCCAGCAUCUUGGAUGUAGCUAAAUUGUGAAUAAAAUGCAGUGGAAAUUUUUC